rnacentral:rRNA from 1 species
UACGUAGGGCGCAAGCGUUAUCCGGAAUUAUUGGGCGUAAAGAGCUCGUAGGCGGUUUGUCGCGUCUGCCGUGAAAGUCCGGGGCUCAACUCCGGAUCUGCGGUGGGUACGGGCAGACCAGAGUGAUGUAGGGGAGACUGGAAUUCCUGGUGUAGCGGUGAAAUGCGCAGAUAUCAGGAGGAACACCGAUGGCGAAGGCAGGUCUCUGGGCAUUAACUGACGCUGAGGAGCGAAGGCGUGGGGAGCGAACAGG